CUUUACUACAGCUUCACACUGGCAUCAGGCCAUGCAUGUGCAGGAUAGGUGGUGGGCUUUGAAGCAGGAACGCCAGUUCCUGUGGAGCCACCCUUGAGAUACCACCCUUGCAUUCUUGAUGUCUAACCGCGGUCCGUUAUCCGGAUCCGGGACCCUGUGUGGCGGGUAGUUUGACUGGGGCGGUCGCCUCCUAAAGAGUAACGGAGGCGCGCGAAG
rnacentral:rRNA from 1 species